rnacentral:rRNA from 1 species
UACAGAGGUCCCAAGCGUUGUUCGGAUUCACUGGGCGUAAAGGGUGCGUAGGCGGUCGGGUAAGUCUGAUGUGAAAUCUAUGGGCUCAACCCAUAGUCUGCAUCGGAAACUGUCGGGCUUGAGUAUGGGAGAGGUGAGUGGAAUUUCCGGUGUAGCGGUGAAAUGCGUAGAUAUCGGAAGGAACACCUGUGGCGAAAGCGGCUCACUGGACCAUUACUGACGCUGAGGCACGAAAGCUAGGGGAGCAAACAGG